rnacentral:rRNA from 1 species
UACGAAGGGGGCUAGCGUUGCUCGGAAUCACUGGGCGUAAAGGGUGCGUAGGCGGGUCUUUAAGUCAGGGGUGAAAUCCUGGAGCUCAACUCCAGAACUGCCUUUGAUACUGAAGAUCUUGAGUUCGGGAGAGGUGAGUGGAACUGCGAGUGUAGAGGUGAAAUUCGUAGAUAUUCGCAAGAACACCAGUGGCGAAGGCGGCUCACUGGCCCGGUACUGACGCUGAGGUGCGAAAGCGUGGGAGCAA